rnacentral:tRNA from 1 species
CGGGAUAUAGCUCAGAUGGCUAGAGCGCAAGGCUGGGGGUCUUGAGGCCGCAGGUUCGAGUCCUGUUAUCCCGA